UCGGAUCUGCACGUAGUGUGAUAGGGUAUUCCAAGUGCUUAUGCUUUGUAUGGGCUUUUGCCAAGAGUAAAUAUCUUGGCGAAUAAGUGGUGGGUAAGACUGGUGCCAGCCGCCGCGGUAA
rnacentral:rRNA from 1 species